GUGUCAGCCGCCGCGGUAAUACGUAGGGUGCGAGCGUUAAUCGGAAUUACUGGGCGUAAAGCGUGCGCAGGCGGUUUUUUAAGACGGACGUGAAAUCCCCGGGCUCAACCUGGGAACUGCAUUCGUGACUGGAAGGCUAGAGUGUGUCAGAGGGGGGUGGAAUUCCACGUGUAGCAGUGAAAUGCGUAGAGAUGUGGAGGAACACCGAUGGCGAAGGCAGCCCCCUGGGAUAACACUGACGCUCAUGCACGAAAGCGUGGGGAGCGAACAGGAUUAGAUACCCUGGUAGUCCACGCCCUAAACGAUGUCUAUUAGUUGUUGGGUUUUAAUUAACUUAGUAACGAAGCUAACGCGCGAAAUAGACCGCCUGGGGAGUACGGCCGCAAGGUUAAAACUCAAAGAAAUUGGCGG
rnacentral:rRNA from 1 species